rnacentral:rRNA from 1 species
UACGUAGGUGGCAAGCGUUGUCCGGAAUUACUGGGUGUAAAGGGAGCGUAGGCGGGCGCUUAAGUUGAAUGUUAAAACGAUCGGCUCAACCGGUCGAUGCGUUCAAAACUGAGCGUCUUGUGUGAAGUAGAGGCAGGCGGAAUUCCCGGUGUAGCGGUGGAAUGCGUAGAUAUCGGGAGGAACACCAGUGGCGAAGGCGGCCUGCUGGGCUUUAACUGACGCUGAGGCUCGAAAGCAUGGGGAGCAAACAGGAUUAGAUACCCUGGUAGUCCAUGCCGUAAACGAUGAUUACUAGGUGUGGGCGGGCAACCGUCCGUGCCGGAGUUAACACAAUAAGUAAUCCACCUGGGGAGUACGGCCGCAAGGUUGAA